GAUGAACGCUGGCGGCGUGCUUAACACAUGCAAGUCGAACGAAGCACCUUGGAAUGCGUCUUCGGACAAAUGAAUUGGUGACGUAGUGGCGGACGGGAGAGUAACGCGUGGGUAGCCUGCCCAGCACAGGGGGAUAACAGGUAGCAAUGACUGCUAAAACCGCAUAACAUGGCGAGAACGCAUGUCCUUGCAAUCAAAUAUUUAUAGGUGGGGGAUGGGCCCGCGGCUGAUUAGCUAGUUGGUAGGGUAAUGGCCUACCAAGGCGACGAUCAGUAGGCGGCUUGAGAGAGUGAACGGCCACAUUGGGACUGAGACACGGCCCAAACUCCUACGGGAGGCAGCAGUGGGGGAUAUUGGACAAUGGGGGAAACCCUGAUCCAGCGACGCCGCGUGAGUGAAGAAGUAUUUCGGUAUGUAAAGCUCUAUCAGCAGGGAAGAAAAAUAACCAAAUUGACUGUACCUGACUAAGAAGCCCCGGCUAACUACGUGCCAGCCGCCGCGGUAACAC
rnacentral:rRNA from 1 species